GCCGGUGUGGCUCAGUGGAUAGAGCGUCAGACUGCAGAUUGAAGGGCACCCGGUUCCAUUCGGUCAAGGGCA
rfam:Myotis lucifugus cont2.58829, whole genome shotgun sequence.